rnacentral:misc_RNA from 1 species
CAGUUAAUAGCUCAGCUCCACCAUCCUACUGGAAGGAGGCCUCACACCCGAAGACUCAAGGCAACCAAACGUCUGCAAGUAAAUUCUUCCAUUCCAUUGCCCGUUAAACUACCAAUCAAUCAGAUAUCGAAACACCCCAUCAAUCCCAAAUUGAUCCAAAAAUUGACCACCCAAAUGGCCCAAAUCCAAACACCCAAGAGCAUUAUUGAUUCUAUUGGAGAAGAAAUAAUCAAAAUCCUAACACCAGUCUCAAUCUGCAUGUUCAUUGUGGUG